rnacentral:misc_RNA from 1 species
CUGCGAGUUCGCGGGAGAGUAAGUUAUUGCCAGGGUUUUUAUUUUAUACUUUAAACCUUGAAUUUAUUUUUUAAACGUUUAUAUUAUUUGAAUGUUUUAUUCAAAUAAUAUAAAAAAUAAUAUAUAUAUUGACAUGGAUUAAACAAAGAUAUAUAUUAUUCUAUGUUGUAUGAACAAAUUGGCAAAAUAGAGAUGGAAGAUAAAAAUAUGGUCAAAGUAAUAAGAGUCUAUGGUGAAUGCCUAGGA